rnacentral:rRNA from 1 species
CGAGCGCUGAUUCUGGUGUAGCAAUAUAUCAGAGUUGGAGCGGCGCAAGGGUGCGUAACACGUGGGUAAUUUGCCAUGAAGUUGGGGAUAACUCGCUGAAAGGCGAGCUAAUACCGGAUGUGGUUUCGGAGUGGCAUCACUUUGCAACUAAAGCUGGGGAUCGUAAGACCUGGCGCUUCAUGAUAAGCCCGCGGCCUAUCAGCUAGUUGGUGAGGUAACGGCUCACCAAGGCUAAGACGGGUAGCUGGUCUGAGAGGACGACCAGCCACACUGGAACUGAGACACGGUCCAGACACCUACGGGUGGCAGCAGUCGAGAAUUUUUCUCAAUGGGCGCAAGCCUGAAGGAGCGACGCCGCGUGGGGGAUGAAGGGUUUCGAUCCGUAAACCCCUGUCAUUUGUGAACAAUGGUUAUUAUUUAAAAGAUGAUGACUUGAUAGUAAUGAAAGAGGAAGGGACGGCUAACUCUGUGCCAGCAGCCGCGGUAAUACAGAGGUCCCGAGCGUUGUUCGGAUUCACUGGGCGUAAAGGGUGCGUAGGUGGCAUGCUAAGUUUGAUGUGAAAGCUCAGGGCUUAACCCUGAAAUGGCAUUGAAUACUAGCGUGUUGGAGGUUUGGAGGGGGGACUGGAAUUCUCGGUGUAGCAGUGAAAUGCGUAGAU